GAUGAAGAACGUAGCGAAAUGCGAUAAGUAAUGUGAAUUGCAGAAUUCAGUGAAUCAUCGAAUCUUUGAACGCACAUUGCGCCCGCCAGUAUUCUGGCGGGCAUGCCUGUUCGAGCGUCAUUUCAACCCUCAAGCCCUCGGGUUUGGUGUUGGGGAUCGGCGAGCCUUUCUGGCAAGCCGGCCCCGAAAUCUAGUGGCGGUCUCGCUGCAGCCUCCAUUGCGUAGUAGUAAAACCCUCGCAACUGGAACGCGGCGCGGCCAAGCCGUUAAACCCCCAACUCUUCUGAAGUUGACCUCGAAUCAGGUAGGAAUACCCGCUGAACUUAAGCAUAUCAAUAAGCGGAGGA
rnacentral:misc_RNA from 1 species